ACUGGAAAAAAAUCAUUUCAAGGUAAGACUGUAAGAGGUUCAUGGGGGGAGAGGUGCGGUCAACACUUCAUUAGUGCCGGUGGGUGGUGGUUGUUGGUGGAGAGACGGAGAGAGGUGCCGUCGAUUCAGAGAUUUCAGGGUGUGUGCUACGUUGUUCACUUGCAAUCGCGAUUUAGGGUUCGGUUUUGGGGGCAAUUGGGCAAAGUAAAUUUUAUUUUCUUUAUUUUUACUUAAUAAAAAACCGGGCACGAGUCCGGGUUCCGGGUUCUUGGUGCUGUGACUGGACCCGUGCCCGGAAGUAGCCAGGCAUUGAAAAUUAAUGUCCGGAUCCGCU
rnacentral:lncRNA from 1 species